CGGUACGUCGACGUUAGAACAUCUGCAGUAAGGAAAUCUGCAACCAUACUUUCAUCAAUGUUAUUUAAAAUUGACUGCUUUCGUUCCCUUUAACCAAUUGUCAAUGCGAGGGCCUUCGUACCCACAUGCGUCACUUUUAUUGUAGCUGCGAGUAAUUGUAUUGUACUUAAAGCUUACUCAGUCUAGGCUCAUGAAGUGCUGCCCUCUUGGUCUCUGGACUAAAACCAUCAUCUUCAAAAGCUUCCGGUGUUUAGUAUGGCCAUAGAAUAGCAGACUACGGAGGUGAGGAAGAUAGCAACGGAAAUGAGAAAUUCAUUCAUUUCGCCCGAAGUACGUAGUCGUCGAUUUGAAGAGUUCAAAGCAGCACCGUAUUUUGAGCAUAACCGAAACGUUGGGUGGAUUGGAAAUGUCUUACUUCUGAUGAUGAAUUUUCUACUGCACUAGACCAUAAGAUGCGCGACAAGCAAAAUUGAGCAAACUACAGCGAAAAAGGUGCGGACUGAAGUUGACUGUUUGCUACACAUGGUUAUCUUCUUUCAGCCUUGGCUUUAUACACCUGUUGUACUAGUACACAGCGUUUGGGAAUGAAAUCCGUUGUGGGUGAUUUUGCAGUUGGCAAACAAGGUUUGGUAUCAAACAGUAUGACACCCAUUUUCUUACCAAACUACGCAGGAUAUUUAUUCUAAAUCCUGUUGUAUCCUGGUAAGAGUUUGUAAGGAAAAUGCAAAAGAAUUUCACUAUACUAAGGAAGGAUUUUUACCAAACUAAACAGGAUAUUUAUUCAGAACCCCACAAUGUCCUAGUAAUAGUUUUGUAAGAAAAAUGCCAAAAGGAUAUCACUGUGUUAUUAAGUGUAUAAGCAAAGCGUUGCACCAACUCAUCUUUUAUUUCUUUAAUGUAGAGUCCAAAUAAUAGGCAAGAAGAAAAAGAGUCUGAGGCUGGAUGCCUAAACAAUUGAUGAUAAUCGGAAGUCGUGGGUCGCUGCUUCGUCCCGAAAACAAAGUAUUAAAAUUCAUAUAAAUUGAAGUGCAUCCGUUUCACAUUGACAUGUAAUAAGCCCGUAGGGGGCCAUGCCUUUACUGUGAUCAGCAGUAGUAUUUAGCAAUUUGAAAUAUAAUAAUACUUAACAAAAAUUUUAAAACUUGUGCUUAAAAUUUUCCUCAGUUUUCUUGAUCCCAUUCAA